rnacentral:rRNA from 1 species
AUUGAACGCUAGCGGCAUGCCUUACACAUGCAAGUCGAACGAGUGGCGGACGGGUGAGUAAUGUCUGGGAAACUGCCUGAUGGAGGGGGAUAACUACUGGAAACGGUAGCUAAUACCGCAUACCAUCAGAUGUGCCCAGAUCGGAUUAGCUAGUUGGUGGGGUAAAGGCUCACCAAGGCGACGAUCCCUAGCUGGUCUGAGAGGAUGACCAGCCACACUGGAACUGAGACACGGUCCAGACUCCUACGGGAGGAAGCAGUGGGGAAUAUUGGACAAUGGGGGAAAGCCUGAUGCAGCCAUGCCGCGUGUAUGAAGAAGGCCUUCGGGUUGUAAAGUACUUUCAGCGGGGAGGCGUUACCUGCAGAAGAAGCACCGGCUAACUACGUGCCAGCAGCCGCGGUAAUUC